AACGAACGCUGGCGGCAUGCCUAACACAUGCAAGUCGAACGAAAACACUCGGGGUCUAGUGGCGCACGGGUACGUAACGCGUGGGAAUCUGCCCGUAGGUUCGGAAUAACAGUUAGAAAGGACUGCUAAUACCGGAUGAUCACGUUAAGUCCAAUGAUUUAUCGCCUGAGGAUGAGAACGCGAAGGAUUAGCUAGUUGGUGUGGUAAAGGCGCACCAAGGCGACGAUCCUUAGCUGGUCUGAGAGGCUGAUCAGACACACUGGGACUGAGACACGGCCCAGACUCCUACGGGAGGCGGCAGAGGGUAAUAGUGGAAAGUGGGCGCAAGCAUGAUCCAGCUAUGACGGGUGAGCGAUGUAAGCCGUAGGGUUGUAAAGCUCUUGUACCCGUGAUGAUAAUGACAGUACCGGGAGAAUAAGCCACGGCUAACUCCGUG
rnacentral:rRNA from 1 species